rnacentral:misc_RNA from 1 species
AAGAGUUUGGUGCCUUUGGUACCUUCUCCAACCCAAUGUGAACUUUUUUCGUUGCCUCGGUGGGUUUGAUAGUACCCGUAAGGUGUUCCUAUCCAUCCUCUGACCUGUCGGAGAGCACCCACCGAUGGAUUUUUAAACUUGAUUAAUUUGAAAUCUGAGUAAACAAAAAAUAAAAACA